AGUAUCAGUAUGGGAGCCCUGCUGUUCGAAGCACUUUGCAUCGUGUUAGUUGUUAAUGAUUUCUUUUCAUUAAAACCUCAUAGAUUGAAUAUAGACAACCUAUCAAGGCAAGAGACAGUGAAAACACCACUCAAGCCAAGUGAUAUUGCCCUGAAAGGACAGAGAUGUGAGGUCCUGCUGGAUACAGGACCUUUGUCAAAAGACUUGACGUGGUGAAAGACCCAAACUCAGGGAAGGUUGAUAUUAACUGGAGUUGGUUGUAGCCAUUGCUUUCCAGACACUGUCACUCUCUUGAUUAUUCUAGUAACCCAUGAUUACUCAUAUUAUCACUCCCUAUCCAGACCCCUUCAUCUUCACCCCAAUAUCAUACUAGAGUCUGCCAAUUGCUCCCCAAGAUCCAAUACCUCUCUUUUCCUAGCCCUGCUGUCCCUUGCUGUCCUCCCCCAACCUCUUGGUUUUCUCCUGUUCUAAACUAUAUUAGAAGUAACAAAGGGUUGGGUAUUAGUAUAGCCUCUGUAGUCUGACCAGAUAUGGCCGAGUCACAAUUCUGCUUUGUAUAAGCAAGUUACUUCAUCUCCUCCAGCCUCAAUCUUCUCAUCUUUCAAAUGGAAAAAGGAUUGCUAGGAAUAUUAAAUGAGUCCAGGUAUAGAAAUCAUUUAAUAGAGUGGCUGGUAUAAAAUCAGAGCUAUGCAUUUUUACCUAUUAUUGUUUUUGUUGCCAAGUACUUUUUGUACUGACUCUUGAAUUGUUUUUUUGACAUUCUCCCUAAAAAGGUUUACCUACUUUAUUCUCUAUCUCUCUUGAUUUACCCAGCAUGUCCUUAACUCGGACUAAAGCUACUAAAACUUUCUUGACCUCUGUUUUCUCAUCUGUAAAAUGGAGACUAACAGUUAUUCUCUGAUGGUUUCAUCUUCCUGCGCCCAGGGGUCUCAUCAAUAACCCCCAUCCCAAGCCCCAACUUGAUGUCAUGCCACCUCUUCCAGGAGAACCCAAAUACUGCAGACAGCUCGUCAGUUUCCCUGAGUCAUAUCUGCCCUAGAGUAAACAACCUAGUUUUAUUUAUUCAUUUGAGUUUUAACCGCUCCUCAUAUGAAAUUAUUUCCAAGCUUUUAGCAUCCUGGCUUUUCUCUUUUAAAUGAUAUGAUUGGUUCAUAUGUAACCGAAGACAUGUGGAAUACAUUAUUCCAUAAAUGGUCAGCUCGGAUAAAGCAAUGCUGUCUCUGAUAGCCUUUAUUUUUCACAUUUUUUUCUAAUCUUUGCACAUCUCAGAGUCAAGCACAGAUCUCAUUAAAGUUUUUACAUAUCACCUUCUAUUGUUUCCUCAUCUUGAGUAUCCUGCCCACAAAAACUGAUAUCCCUAACUCAAAAGGCAAGACCUCACUUAUAUUUGCAUUAAAUAUCACAUUUAUUGUGAGGCCCAUUUAAUGAGAUGCAGACCUUCAUUUCAGUUGGUGGGAAUUUUUGUGAAUACUAAUUUUGUCAAUCAACAUAUUAACUCCCAGCAUUUUUUCAUCCAUAAAUGUAAUGAACCCUCACCUUUCAUAUGUUAACCUAGAUCCAGAGAUAAAAUAUUUUAGGGCCAAGGUAUUACAGGUGGCACUAGUGGCAAAGAACCUGCCUGCCGAUGCAGGAGACAUAAGAGACGCAGAUUCAAUCCCUGGGUCGAG
ensembl:lncRNA